UACGUAGGGUGCGAGCGUUAAUCGGAAUUACUGGGCGUAAAGCGUGCGCAGGCGGUUUUGUAAGCCAGAUGUGAAAGCCCCGGGCUUAACCCGGAAAGGUCAGCCGAUACUGCGGGGCUAGAGUGCAGAAGGGGCAACUGGAAUUCUCGGUGUAGCGGUGAAAUGCGUAGAUAUCGAGAGGAACACCUGCGGCGAAGGCGGGUUGCUGGGCUGACACUGACGCUGAUGCGCGAAAGCUAGGGGAGCGAACGGG
rnacentral:rRNA from 1 species